GGUUGUGGUUCAGUGGAAGAGCCCUUGCCUCACAUGUGUGAGGCCCUGGGUUCGAUCCUCAGCACCA
rnacentral:tRNA from 1 species